GAUUACUGGGCGUAAGCGCGCGUAGGCGGUUUGUUAAGUGAGAUGUGAAAGCCCCGGGCUCAACCUUGGAACUGCAUCUCAUACUGGCAGGCUAGAGUACGGUAGAGGGGGGUAGAAUUCCA
rnacentral:rRNA from 1 species